rnacentral:lncRNA from 1 species
GACAGCAAUAAACCCACGAUUAGGCAGGGGCAGCACCUGUGGGUCUGGGCUCCACACCAUGCCUGGACAGUGCAAUUAGAGGAGUGAGAGGCAUUGAGAUGAUCCUGGUCCUCACCAGGUAUUACCAGCAUCUGAGCAGGGGCUAAGCAGCAAAUUCCAUGUGGUUUCGUGUGGCAUGGACAUGACUGGGAGCAGGGCCAGCCUGCUCCUGAGACCCCCCUCAU